CCUACGGGGAGGCAGCAGUAAGGAAUAUUGGUCAAUGGACGAAAGUCUGAACCAGCCAUGCCGCGUGAAGGAUUAAGGCCCUCUGGGUUGUAAACUUCUUUUAUCUGGGAACGAAAAAAGGGUAUUCUUACUCACUUGACGGUACCAGAGGAAUAAGCACCGGCUAACUCCGUGCCAGCAGCCGCGGUAAUACGGAGGGUGCAAGCGUUAUCCGGAUUUACUGGGUUUAAAGGGUGCGUAGGUGGGCUUGUAAGUCAGUGGUGAAAUCUCCGGGCUUAACCCGGAAACUGCCAUUGAUACUAUAGGUCUUGAAUUAUCUGGAGGUAAGCGGAAUAUGUCAUGUAGCGGUGAAAUGCUUAGAUAUGACAUAGAACACCAAUUGCGAAGGCAGCUUACUACGGAUAUAUUGACACUGAGGCACGAAAGCGUGGGGAUCAAACAGGAUUAGAUACCCUGGUAGUCCACGCCCUAAACGAUGGAUACUCGACAUCAGCGAUACACUGUUGGUGUCUGAGCGAAAGCAUUAAGUAUCCCACCUGGAAGUACGAUCGCAAGNUUGAAACUCAAAGGAAUUGACGG
rnacentral:rRNA from 1 species